UACGUAGGGAGCGAGCGUUGUCCGGAAUUAUUGGGCGUAAAGGGUGCGUAGGCGGCAAUGCAAGUCAGAUGUGAAAUCCCCGGGCUUAACUCGGGUGGUGCAUUUGAAACUGCGUUGCUUGAGUGCAGGAGAGGAAAGCGGAAUUCCUAGUGUAGCGGUGAAAUGCGUAGAUAUUAGGAAGAACACCAGUGGCGAAGGCGGCUUUCUGGACUGUAACUGACGCUGAGGCACGAAAGCGUGGGGAGCAAACAGG
rnacentral:rRNA from 1 species